AGCGAACGCUGGCGGCAGGCCUAACACAUGCAAGUCGAACGAACUCUUCGGAGUUAGUGGCGGACGGGUGAGUAACACGUGGGAACGUGCCUUUUGGUUCGGAAUAACUCAGGGAAACUUGUGCUAAUACCGAAUGUGCCCUUCGGGGGAAAGAUUUAUCGCCAUUAGAGCGGCCCGCGUCUGAUUAGCUAGUUGGUGAGGUAACGGCUCACCAAGGCGACGAUCAGUAGCUGGUCUGAGGGGAUGACCAGCCACACUGGGACUGAGACACGGCCCAGACUCCUACGGGAGGCAGCAGUGGGGAAUCUUGCGCAAUGGGCGAAAGCCUGACGCAGCCAUGCCGCGUGAAUGAUGAAGGUCUUAGGAUUGUAAAAUUCUUUCACCGGGGACGAUAAUGACGGUACCCGGAGAAGAAGCCCCGGCUAACUUCGUA
rnacentral:rRNA from 1 species